rnacentral:lncRNA from 1 species
AUCAGGGUUUGAUUCAAAUUCAAACGUUUUGAGCUUAAUGGUCUGAUGCAAGGACUGCCUGAGGUUGGGGUUGUUAAAGGUGGGAUGGAAGCGCAAACAUCAGCCCUUGCAGCCAUUUAAAGUAGCUAACAAAUAAACAGACAAAAACAAUGAAUAGGCCUAUGCAGCAUCAGCCAUGAGUAAGUAACUGUUUUUUGUAUUUAUUUCAGGAAACAGCAGUCUGGCCCAUCUCAAGGAGAUCCAGCGACUUCUGAUGGUCAACAACCUGCAAGAGCUCAGCAGCCAAGUCAGCCUGAACAGAGCUCUGUUGGCAGGGGUCAGUCUGGUCAACAGUAUCAUUCAGGUUCUGUGGGCAGGGGUCAGUCUGGUCAACAGUAUCAUUCAGGUUCUGUGGGCAGAGGCCAGCCUGGUCACAGUACCAUUCAGGUUCUGUAGGAAGAGGCCAGCCUGGUCAACAGUACCCUUCAGGCUCUGUAGGAAGAGGCCAGCCUGGUCAACAGUACCAUUCAGGUUCUGUAGGCAGAGGUCAGCAUGAUGGUCAACAGAGUUCUCAUGGUAGAGGUCAGACCCCAAAGUGGUCCUUAUCAAGGUCCGCCACCUCAGGGAGUCCAGUUCUCUAGUCAGCAACCACAACAAGGUCAACAACAGCAAAAAAGGCCCGCAACAAGGUCAGCAGCAGCAAAAAGGCCCGCAUCAAGGUCAGCAACAGCAAAAAGGCUCGCAACAAGGUCAGCCACCUCAGGGAUCCAGUUCCCAAGUCAGCAACAGCAAAAAGGCCGCCCGCAACAAGGUCAGCAACAGCAGAAAGGCCCACAAAAGGUCAACAACAGCAAAAAGGCCCGCAACAAGGUCAGCAACAGCAAAAGGCUCGCAACAAGGUCAGCCACCUCAGGGAGUCCAGUUCCCAAGUCAGCAACAGCAAAAAGGCCCGCAACAAGGUCAGCAACAGCAAAUAGGCCUGCAACAAGGUCAGCCACCUUUGGCUCAGCAGCUCCAACCUUCAGGAGAGGACAAGUCUCAAAAGCCUUCCUCUCACUCAGGUGAUUCUCAAGGGAAGAAGGACAAACCAACAGCCAAGCCUCAAAAAGAUAAAGAAAAUCAGCCUCCGAAGAAGG